rnacentral:rRNA from 1 species
AUUCCGAGUUGAUUCGGGCUCCGGCCCNAUCCUCCCACCCUUUGUGUACCUACCUCUGUUGCUUUGGCGGGCCGCGGUCCCCCGCGGCCGCCCCCCCUCCCCGGGGGGUGGCUAGUGCCCGCCAGAGGACCAUCAAACUCCAGUCAGUGAACGUCGCAGUCUGAAAAAACAUUCAAUAAACUAAAACUUUCAACAACGGAUCUCUUGGUUCUGGCAUCGAUGAAGAACGCAGCGAAAUGCGAUAAGUAAUGUGAAUUGCAGAAUUCAGUGAAUCAUCGAAUCUUUGAACGCACAUUGCGCCCCUUGGUAUUCCGAGGGGCAUGCCUGUUCGAGCGUCAUUACAACCCUCAAGCUCUGCUUGGUAUUGGGCACCGCCCUUCUUCGGGCGCGCCUCAAAGACCUCGGCGGUGGCUGUCUUGCCUCAAGCGUAGUAGAAUACACCUCGCUUCGGAGCGCAGGGCGUCGCCCGCCGGACGAACCUUCUGAACUUUUCUCAAGGUUGACCUCGGAU